ensembl:lncRNA
AGUACUCUAGGUGAUCCCUAAGAACCCUAGUGUGAUAUGAAGUGUCUGUUGGUUUUACUGCUCUGUAAUAUCAACAUACAUGAAGUAUACCAUAAAGCAAGUGUUGAACAUGGAAUGGUGUAUGUGGUGGGUGGGUACAAAUUCAUCUUCAAAAAGGUCAUUACUGCCUAUCUGAAGUUUGCCUAAGACUGCCUGGAAGAUCCAGAAGACUACUGGAAGACUGUGAUUUGGAUAGACAGUGAAGCUUUUUUUGCAUAAAUGAGAAAUGUUAGGUGGAGGGAAUAUGAUGAUGUAGAGUUGGUUUGCAGUCCAAAAGACCUAGAUCUUUUGCAUUAUAACUAUGUUCUACAGGAGAAUAUUUUAGCAUCUGCUGAACCUUAACAGAAAGUAGGCUAUAAAAACAACUGUGAUUCUAGACAUGCAAGAAUGGCUGGAACAGAAGAAAUGCUGUGGCCUGACUUGAAGUCACCACUUUGUGUGAGAUUCGCAAAAAUACCAACGUGCUCAAGCAGUUCUGCAUGGAGAAAUGGGCAAAAUACCUCCAGAAUGAUCCACGUGAUGGUUCAACACAUACAGGAAUUGUUCAGCCAACAUCUGUGCUGCUGAAGGAGGAGCUGUCAGAUCAUGUCACCGCUCUUAUGAUGAUAACGAUGAAGCCUGAAAGAACAAAAUGGAAAACUGAUCAUGCAUUAAUCGAGAAAAGUUGGUGGUAGAAAUGGACUUUUGCAGUCACUUUCUGAGAUGAUUAGGCCUGUGGNGGUACUUUGGCCUCCUGCUCAAAUAUCUGUGAUAAUUCAAAUACUGAUGAUCAUCUGAGUUUUCACAGUGAAUAGAAUCCUGAAAAACUGAAAACUGACAUGGAGAGUUGGGGACAAAAAGCUUCAGCCAGUGUUUAUUGCUGGUGACACAUAACACUAGUAUGANUGGUGCUAAUUUAACUCAGUGGCCCAAACCAGCAUGGAUGAGGGACCCAUGAAAUAAUUUAUGUCAUCAAGUUUAUUCUGACUACAGCAUUACUCACAUUAAGUGCCAUUCAGCACCAGUAAGCAAGGUUGAUAGUUUUCUCCCUCAAAGGUUCCAUGUCAGUUACUUUCCUCCACCCAUUGCUAUGAAAGCCCAGAGGAUAACUAGUAACUGGGUAGGUAACUAGACUCUGCACAUUCCAAAAAUCCACAGGUUUAUUCCAUGACAGCUGCCAUUUGGGUCUUUCCAUAUCACAUCACCUCAAAAUUGACAUUUUCAACCAGAUCAUUUUUUAAAAAAUUAAAUUUAUUGUCAUGAUACUUAAAUUCCACAAUUUUGAAAAAAAACUGUGNUAUCUUGCUCACUGAGCAACUUUUAAUCUUAAAUAUGUCUAGUUUACAGAAUUUACAAGAGUGUUUAGUAGCUCAUUUUAAAGGCCUCAUACAUUUUCAUACUUGAUGGGUUUACCAAAUUUUAAAGUUAUCCACAAAAGACAUGUUUUGGAAAAAAAAACUCUAGGAAAAAUGUAUACUUUGAAUGCUGUAAUUUGGUAAAAAUCCCAAAAGUUUCAUUUUGGGAACACAAUGGGAUCAAAAAUUAAUUUUCAGUGGAAUGUCAUCAAAAUUCAAGCCAUCAUAAUGUAAAAGUUAUGUUUGAUUGUUCUAUCAAUCCUUAAUUCUUAUGAACUAAGACUAAUAAUAAACUACGUAAUUAAAUUAAACUCUACCA